CCCCCACAGGCCUCCUGCUGUUGCUGCUGCUGCUGCCUGGAAUUCAACCGACAGAUAUUCGUUCCUCUGAAUUAAGCCUUGCGGUGCUCCACUUCCGACCUUCACACUGCAACCCCACUUCCUCACCCCUGCAGGAAUCCAUCAGGAGAAGUAUCCUAGCAUUGGACCAGAGAUUUGGACCUGGAAGGGGCCUUGGAGAGCAU